GGAGCAACAGCUUUGCGUGAAGCGGGUCAGGGGAGGAAUCCAGCAGCCCUAAGCGAUGUAAGCUGUGUGCUCU
rnacentral:SRP_RNA from 1 species